rnacentral:rRNA from 1 species
GUCUCACGGCUUAUCAGCCAGUUGGUGUGGUAAUGGCUAACCAAUGUGAGGAGGGGUUGCCGGCCUGAGAGGGUGACAGGCCACACUGGGACUGAGACACGGCCCCGAUUCAUAAUGGAGGCAGCAGUGGGGAAUAUUGCACAAUGGGCGAAAGCUUGAUGAAGAGACCCUUCGUGAGGGAUGACGGCGUUCGGGUUGUAAACCUCUUUCAGCAGGGAAGAAGGUAAAGUGACGGUACUCCCAGAAGAAGCCCCGGCUAACUAUGUGCCAGCAGCCGCGGUAAUACGUAGGGUGCAAGCGUUGUUCGGAUUUAUUGGGCGUAAAGAGUUCGUAGGCGGUUUAUCAAGUCUGACGUGAAAUCCCGGGGCUCAACCGUGGAAUUGCGGUGGAAACGGGCAGACUAGAGUACGGCAGGGGAGAAUGGAAUUCCCGGUGUAGCGGUGAAAUGCGUAGAUAUCAGGAGGAAUCCCCCGCCGCGCCCCGCGCCCG